GCGCAGCAGUCGCGAAUAGUCUACAAUGGACGAAAGUCUGAUAGUGCGACGCCGUGUGUGCGAUUAAUUCCUUCGGGAUGUAAAGCACUUUUCUAUGAGAUAAAAGCUCUUUAGGUUAAUAGCUUAUUGAGACGGAUAUUAUUAUAGGAAUAAGCUCCGGCUAACUCCGUGCCAGCAGCCGCGGUAAUACGGAAGGAGCGAGCGUUGUCCGGAUUUACUAGGCGUAAAGGGCUAGUAGGCGACUAAUUAAGUUAUAUGUUAAAUCCCACGGCUCAACUGUGGUCCUGCAUGUAAUACUGGUUAGAUAGAGUACUGUAGAGGAAGGCAGAAUUCCUGGAGUAGCGGUGGAAUGCGCAGAUAUCAGGAAGAAUACCAAAAGCGAAGGCAGCCUUCUGGGCAGUUACUGACGCUGAAUAGCGAAGGUGUGGGUAGCGAACAGGGAUUAGAU
rnacentral:rRNA from 1 species